AAACGAAUGCAGUGGUCAUACAGAUUAUACUUAAAGUGACGAUACUACUUAUAGAUCUACCAGUUGAUAAACAUCAUCAUCAUAGAUAAUAAUCUACAUCUAUAAUCAUAGUGCCCUUUAUUUAGUCAAUAUAGUCAAGUCAAGAUAGUGGAACGUAAACUCGAAGGUUUAAUACAAUACGUUAUUAACAUUAAGUAGAACCAUGGCAACCAGUUCUGAUGAUGUACCAGAAUGGCUCAAGGAUCAUACUUAUACUAUUUCUACUCUCUGGGCAUCCAUUCAAUAUUUAAUUUAUGUUUGGAAAUGCAAGAAAAAGGCAUGCAUUCCUGAAAAGUCAAUGAUUGGUUGCACCUCUUAAAGAUAACUUUCUGUUAUGAGAAAAGAUGAGAUUCUUGGACUCCUGCAUAGCACCACCAGAAAGGAAAAUACCAUCAUGUUGCAAAAUAAAAGUCUUGGACCAAUUUUAAUUGAAGAUAUAUAUAUUACACUGUAAGCUGUAUACAUAUUUAUGUAUAUCCUGUCAUUCAGCCAACAGGUUUGGAUUUAGUAUUUCUUUAAAUCAACUUCAUAUUGUACUUGAAAACUAUUAAUGUGAGCCCCAUUAAAACAAGAGGGAGUGCAGUGGAUGAGUGGUAAGGGAAAUUUUACUUUUUUAAAAUUAAAAUAAGAAUCUAACAAAAGUAAACAUAUAAAAUAUGGUACAUUCUGCUUAAAACUAAAACCUGGUGCAAAUUAAGGUUUAAAAUGUUGGCAAAAAAAAGCAACAUCAAUUAAAUAUUCUUAAUUCCCUUUGCAAAACUUACUGAGAAGAACAUGCAUGUUGUUCCCUCAUAAGUUUCUUGACAGAGGAAAUCUUGUUUAUAUUAGAUUUGAAUUAAGCAAAUUAAGAAAAAAAUUAUAAUCAUUAUUUAAAAUGGUUGUAUCUAAACCUUAUGAAUUAUUUUUCAGUUAUAAGUAUAUUGAAAUGAAUGGAUAAUCAUGAAAUUGUUAAAUAAUUGCUGCUUUCAUUCCAUUGACUCAAGAACCAUAAUUUUUUUUUUGUUAAUUUCAAAAUGAUUUUUUUCAAGCAGAGUUCACAUUGAUCUUGAGUGAAAUUUUUCUUUUUUUGACUAAUGCUUCAAUUUUAUUGUAUCAUUAGUUUUUUAUUUUUAUUAACCAGAAUAUUUUAAAAAUGAGUACACUAUUUCAUGUAAUAAUGUAACUUGGUAUUCACACAUCAAAAUACGCUAUAAUCUUUAGGCCAUAUAGAUUUGGAUAAAUAUAAAUAAACUUUCUGCAAUACAUUGUAAAUGUAUAUUGUUUGGAUAAGAAUAAAGUUUUUCUGUAGACAAUUAUUGUUCAAGAUUUGUUGAUGCUCCUGCUUAAUAAAUUAUAUAUACAGGUCAUUAGUUUUAACACACUACUGACACAAGAAAAACUGGUCACCCCCACUUCCAUUACAUAGAUGUAAUAAAACGUGACCUCAAAUCAGUGAACAUCAAUACUGACAAUUGGGAAGACAUAGCUUUAGACCGCAACAGAUGGAGAGAGACAGUGACCAAGAAAGCUAUGGACAGUGAAAGUACAUGG